rfam:Ovis aries breed Texel chromosome 2, whole genome shotgun sequence.
UCCCUGGUGGCUCAGACGGUAAAGCAUCUGCUUGCCGUGCGGGAGACCCGGGUUCAAUCCCUGGGUUGGGAA